rnacentral:sRNA from 17 species
ACAACAAAAAUAAAAAACGGUAUCUCAAGAACAACAAUACGAAACGACUCUGACAUAACAAGAACAAGCACGGCAGAGACGGCGCAAACUGAUUUUUUUGGAGAGGAUUCGCGCUCCUGGGGUCUAGGCCCCGCAGCCGGACAGAGAACAAUAAAACUACCUCGAGGUAGCGCCCGGACUGGUUGGAUCACUUGGUGAUCAUCGCGAUAUCGGCGAUCAAAGAAAUACGUUUGCUCUUGGCCCCGGCUGGGGCCGACUGAAGCACUUUCUUCAGAGUGGCGGUCGACAAAAACAACAACAGAUCGAGCACAAGAAGAACAAAGCACAAAGUCGAUUUCGAGGGGAGCUCAGGCUCCCCUCUGUGCUUCGAGCGAUCCCCCUUUCCGGAAAACCCGGCUCA